rnacentral:rRNA from 1 species
UACAGAGGUCCCAAGCGUUGUUCGGAUUCACUGGGCGUAAAGGGUUCGUAGGCGGUGUGGCAAGUCGGGAGUGAAAUCUCUGGGCUCAACCCAGAGUCUGCUUCCGAAACUGCUGUGCUUGAGUGUGGGAGAGGCGCGUGGAAUUGCAGGUGUAGCGGUGAAAUGCGUAGAUAUCUGCAGGAACACCCGUGGCGAAAGCGGCGCGCUGGACCACUACUGACGCUGAGGAACGAAAGCUAGGGGAGCAAACAGG